GACGAACGCUGGCGGCGUGCUUAACACAUGCAAGUCGAACGGAAAGGCCUGCUUUCCCUUGUGGAUUGCGGGUACUCGAGUGGCGAACGGGUGAGUAACACGUGAGUGAUCUGCCCCCAACUUGGGUAUAAGCCUGGGAAACUGGGUCUAAUUCCCGGUAGGACUGCAGGGUGGUGCCUGUGGUGGAAAACGAUUUUCUAGUGGUUGGGGAUGAGCUCGCGGCCUAUCAGCUUGUUGGUGGGGUAAUGGCCUACCAAGGCGGCGACGGGUAGCCGGCCUGGGAGGGUGGACGGCCACAUUGGGACUGAGAUACGGCCCAGACUCCUACGGGAGGCAGCAGUGGGGAAUAUUGCACAAUGGGCGGAAGCCUGAUGCAGCGACGCCGCGUGGGGGAUGACGGCCUUCGGGUUGUAAACUCCUUUCGACCGCGAGGAAGCCACCUGGUUGGAAGGGUGGUGACGGUAGUGGUAGAAGAAGCACCGGCUAACUACGUG
rnacentral:rRNA from 1 species